rnacentral:lncRNA from 1 species
AGGAAAUCACACGCGACGUCAUUGCCACGAAUCUAUCUAGUUCUUCGAUUGAGCCCUAUCUUACAAUACGUCUCCUCUUCUUCUGCCUCUAAUGCACCCUGAUCAAUCGCUUCUUUUGUCUCUAAUGCACCCUGAUCAAUCACUUUAUCAAGAUAGAUACUGCAGCCCUCGAACCAUGAGAUCUAUCGAGCAAUUUCUGCAACAAAUUAAGUAGAGUUUACCCAGAAUCCCAACCCGUAUGUUUCUCCCCUCUCCUGUAAAUCUCCACAACAAUAAGUAUAACAGUCAAUAUAUAUGGACACAGCUGCAUGAGGGCAAAUCAAGGAAAAACAGAAAAACACAUCAAUCAGGUUGCUUGUUCAAUAUACACACCUUCACAAACAUUAUCUUCUCCUUUUCAUAUUUUCUUUCUAGCACAUAAUAAGCACCAUCAUCCAUAUUUCAAAGUCCUGAUUGUUAAUUUUGCAUGUGUGUGUGGCAAUCUGGAUUCAGCAAAAGCUCUGAAUCCUUUCCUGGGAAUCUUAGUGUUAUCAUAGAUUCUUCCCUGCUAAAGAAUACUUGUUGGAAAUAAGAAACACAAGAGGUUUUAUAUGCUAAUAAUAAUAUGCUACAGAAAUACAAAAACCAGAAAUGAGAUGACCAAAAAAAAUGAGCUUGUAGUAUAAAUACCAACUGCAACUACCAACUACAAACGCCUUGUCCCAGCUUAUCAGGAAAUCAUCUUCUCAAGCGUAUAGUACAAAAACCAAAUACUUUGUAGAAGCAUAUAUAUGCACCCCCCCCCCUAUAUUUUAAUAUAAAUGCACCGUAAUUUUACGCCCCGCAAAUUUUAUUUUAUUUAAUACGUAAAAUAAUGAUGGUAAGAAAAUAUAUAAUGGCCAUAAAAAUAUUUUAUGUUACGUAAAAUCACAAACGUAAAAACAUAGUGUAUAAUAUGCACAAAAUGCUAUUUUCCUGGUCUUAUGACCUAUAUAUUUGUUUUCUUAUGCCAAAUUUUACGCAGUGAAUCAAUAUGAAUAUAACUAUUUAUAUUGCAAAUAUAAUUUAUUUAUAGAAGGAUCGUAAAAUUACCUUGGAUAAAGAAUAACUUAAGAGAGAGAGAAAGGCUCAAUGGCAAUGGGCAUAUGUGCAGUAGAGCCGUAACCUUAAAUAUUGUUGCCAUGCUUAUCUGCACUAAAAAGGAUAAAGAGUGACCCUGACCCAUGUGCAUUGAGGGGUACACCAAAGUUAGUCAUAUGCCUAAGCUUGGUUUGUGGAAAAGGAAAAAAACAAUUAUUUAUUGUAGGAACGGGGGAGAGAGGAGUACCUCCAGCACAAGUGUUUUGUGCGUGGCGGCUGUCUCAGGAACGGGAGAUGGCUGGGAGCCUCCUUUUAGGUUAGUCCCACUACAUGGGCCUGGGCCCUAAGAGAUAACUUGUAUGGGCUGGGCCAUACCAGUUCAACACUUCCCCUCAAGAUGGGUGGUAGAUAUCUAUCAUUCCCAUCUUGUCACAUGCCAAGUUACAAUCCUUUCUUCCCAGACCCUUUGUCAAACAAUCUGCAAACUGCUGCCCAGAACUGACAUGAGUAAGGCUGAUGACCCCGGCAUCAAGCUUCUCCUUAAUGAAGAACCGAUCAAUUUCCACAUGCUUUGUCCUAUCAUGUUGAACUGGGUUAUUAGCGAUGGCUAUAGCUGACUGAUUGUCACACCACACCUUCAAGGGCCCCUUCCUCAGAAGUUUCAACUCGCUCAGUAGGUACUUCACCCAGAGCAUCUCACACAACCCUUGAGAUAAUGCUCUAUACUCAGCUUCUGCUGUUGAUCUAGACACAACCGGCUGUUUCUUGCUUCUCCAUGAUACCAAAUUUCCUCCCACAAACACGCAGUAACCAGAAGUUGAUCUUCUAUCAUCUUGACAACUGGCCCAGUCAGAGUCACUAUAGCCAUCCACCUCAAGAUGUCCACUCUUCCCAAACCACAACCCUUUACCCGGAGUCCCCUUCAAGUAUCUCAGGAUUCUGUGCACAAUAUCAAGAUGCCCACUCCUUGGUUCAUGCAUGUAUCUGCUCACCACCCCCGUAGCAUACGUAAUGUCAGGCCUGGUAUGACACAAGUACAACAACCUUCCAACCAGUUUCUGAUACUCUUCCUUAUUCACUAGCUCUCCUGAUUGUGCUGUCACUUGGUGAUUUUUUUCAAUCGGAGUAGGGGCAGUACGACAUCCCAUCAUGCCCACGUCACUCAAGAGAUCCAAGGUGUAUUUUCGUUGGCACAAAGAGAUUCCCUUCUCUGUCCGAGCCACUUCAAUGCCAAGAAAGUAUUUUAGGUUACCCAAAUCCUUUACCUCAAACUCCUUGCUCAAACAACCCUUCAAUCUCUCUAUUUCCUCCUCAUCAUCUCCAUCUCCAGUGAUGAUAAUGUCAUCCACAUAAACAGCAAGAAUGGUGAUCUUCCGAUCAGAGUGCUUGUAGAACAUCGUGUGGUCACCGUUACACUGACCAUACCCCAUACCACGGACAGCACGUCUGAACCUAUCAAACCAGGCCCUUGGUGAUUGCUUCAGUCCAUACAAGGAUUUCUUCAGCCUGCAUACCUUCCCCGUAGUCUCUGAAGUACCAAAACCUGGUGGUAUUUCCAUGUAGACUUCUUCUUGCAACUCACCAUGCAAGAGGGCAUUUUUGACAUCUAAUUGAUGCAACUUCCACCCAAAGUUUGCAGCACAGGAGACCAAUAUCCUUACUGUGUUCAUCUUUGCCACGGGAGCAAACGUCUCAUCAUAGUCAAUUCCAUAAGUUUGACUAUAUCCUCUGGCGACCAAUCUGGCCUUAUACCGUUCCACCUUCCCUUCAGGAUUCUGCUUCACUACAUAGAUCCACUUACAACUCACUGCUUUCUUUUCUGUCGGCAAUGUGGUUAGCACCCAUGUCUUGUUUUUCCUUAGUGCUUCCAACUCUUCUAUCAUCGCUUCACGCCACCUCGGAUCUUGCUUUGCAGCCUUCCAAUCCUUUGGAAUUGACACAGUUUGAAGGGAGGCAACAAACGCCUUAUAUGUGGGUGACAAAGCCUUAUAAGACACAAAAUUGCCAAUAUCAAGAUCAUCACAAGCAUCAUCCUUCGGUAGAGCCUUCCUUGCUACUUCACCCUUUCUUGCCGCUUCACGUGUAGCCUUUCGCAAUGCAAUGGGCAGCUCCACUGUGUCAGAUGAGCUCGUCUCACUAUCUUGCUGCUCCCCCUGCACUCUUGCCUCACUGUCUUGCUGCUCCCCUUGCACGUGUGGUUGCCGUCGAGAGUACACUAGGGUGUUCGUCUGCCAUCGAUCCCGAACAGGAACCCGAAGAGCACCAAUCUUAAGUGUAUCGACGGUUGGCUCGACAGGAACCUGCACAUCAUCAUCAGUGAGAGUACUAACCGGAAUUGUUCCCACUGUUGGUUGGACCUGAACUUGCACAUCAUUAGCAGUGUUAUUGCCCACAGAAUCACCCUGAGUAUGAGACACAUCCUUCUCCCCCUCUUGACCAUCGUGCACAUGAUGUAGGUGGUCAAGCUCUGCAAAUAGCAGACUGAGAUCAGUCGGCGUACCAUAGAAUGGCUCGGACUGCCUGAAGAUAACAUCCAUACUCACGAACCUGCGUUUUUCAGAGGGAGACCAACAUUUAUACCCCUGCUGACUAGAAGAGUAUCCCAGGAAGACACACUUCACUGCCCGAGGAUCAAGCUUUCCAACAUAUGGUCGGUGAUCACGAACAAAGCAAGUACUGCCAAACAACUUUGGGGAAACAACAAACUUAUUAUCUCCAAUGAGCAACUCAGACGGAGAUUUCAUACCUAAUAUCCUGGAAGGUGUCCGGUUGAUCAGGUACGUGGCUGUCAUAACUGCUUCAUCCCAUAAGAACUUAGGCACAUUCAUGGUAAACAUUAAUGACCGAGCAACCUCAAGAAUAUGACGAUUCUUCCUUUCGGCCACUCCAUUCUAAGGUGGGGUGUCCGGACAUGAAGUUUGAUGAAGAAUCCCUUGGUUAGCCAUGAAAUCCCCAAAAAUAUUGUUCACAUACUCUGUACCAUUGUCAGUCCUGAGCACGUUGACCUGCACCUGAAACUGGUUCUUUACAAGAGCAUGGAAGUUCUGAAAACAGCUAAACACCUCAUCCUUGUGACGCAUCAAGUAAAUCCAAGUCAUACGAGAAUAGCAGUCAAUAAAGGUAACAAGAUACUUCUUUCCAUUCAUUGACACUACUGGGCUAGUCCAUACAUCCGAAUGAAUGAGCAUAAAAGAAGAUAUGCUCCUAAGCCCCUUACUCACAUAUGAGGCUCGUGUGUGUUUUGCAUAUUCGCAAGCAUCACAUGUCAACUUGCCAUUGCCUAUUCCACACAUAACAUCCGGAAAGAUUCUACUCAUCUUAUCAAAAGAUACAUGACCCAUUCUACAAUGAUGGAUCAUCGUCUGCUUCUCCUUGUCCUCCAUGGUCGCAGCACACACCAAGUUCGGUUGCACCUCCUGGUCCAUGUACCAGAGCCCCCUACGCCUGGUGCCAGUCUCAACCGUCUGGCUCGUCUAUCCCUCCUGAAUCAAGCAACCGAACUUGUCAAGGAUCACACGACAGUCUAUUUGAUCAAUGAGAGCACUGAAAGAGACCAAAUUGACAGGAAAAGUUGGCACAUGCAAAACUGACGAUAAUGAGAUGGUUGAAGUGCAUGUGACUGUGCCAACCCCUACGACAGGCUGAUUAAUACCAUCGGCAGUUUGUACAGUGCCCUUGUGAGUAGGAGCAUGCUUAUGGUAAGACUCAAACACACACGAAUUACCCGCAACAUGCUUAGAUGCUCCAAAGUCUAAGACCCACUCUAAAGCACUCUCAUUAGGAGGAAGACAUGCCUUCAUCGAAUUACCUUCAUCAGUGGAGGCCCAGUGAGCAAAGUCUCCAUAGGCCGCCUCAUCAACUCCCUUGCCCUGUGACGUCCCAGUGUCCUCUUCAACUACCAUAUGCGCCCUGCCCCCUAAGUUUCCUGAGUAGCCACCUCUGCCCCUAGAAAGUUGACCCCCUGAGUUCCAUGGGUAUCCACCUCUGCCUCGAGCAUACCUUCCUCUGCCAGUGCCCCCUCUGUUGUAUCCCCUGCCUCUACCACGAGUUGGACAUUCCCUCUUCCAAUGACCUACCUCCCCACAAAUAUGACAUUUGUUGGGAUCUCCCCACUCCAUGCGCUCAGUGACUGCAAAUGUCGAAGCUGGCACAAACUUCACGUUUGCAUGCGCAAGAGAUAGCCUCACCUCCUCUUGAGACAUUGCUGCAAUAGUCUCCUCAAUAGUUGGCAGGAGAGGUUGGUGCAACAGGGAAGCCCCCCUGCCAUGAAAGCAACCUCUGAGGCCUUCCAACAGUUUCAGCACGCGCCUGCGUGCAAUCCACUUGCGCCCUGACUCGAUGCACGCCGCAUCAUAGAGUUCCAGAGGAUCACAGUUAUCCUGCUCUGCCCACAAAGCCUGCAGCUCUGCUACAUAUGUCAUCACUGACAUGUCAUCGCCUUGGCGCAGCCGACUGAUCUUCCCCUCAAUCUGAGCAAUUAGCAUGAAAUUACCCUUGCCUGAGUAUUGGGUGGAUAGAGUCUUCCAUAUCUCGGCGGACGUGGAUAGUCCCUCCACAGAGCGACCAAUGGAGGGCACCACUGAGUUCAACAACCAGCCAACAAGCACAGAGUUUAUGACCUUCCACCGCUUUCCCUCCGCGGUAGUCUUGUCUCCGGGUUCAUCAACCGCACCCAAUAAGUGCCCAUCAAGUUCCUUCUGUUCCACAGCCAGCAAUGCCCUUCUGGACCAGCUCAAAUAAUUUGUGGCCCCCUCUAGCUUCAUGUCCAGGGGUGACAUUUCGAGCUUCUGAGCCACUUCCUGUCGAGGAACGAUGGCCCCAGAGUUGGAGUUGGACUCCGUGAGGAUCUUAGCGAGCUUCUCGAAAGCCUCAGCAAGCGCAUUUGGUUCAGCCAUCUCCGAUCCGGUAAACAGCAGCAGCAGCCCUCAGCAGCACAGCCCUACAGCUGCACGGUUGGUCCCUUUACACCCCCUGGCUAGCAGCAGCACCCAGCAACUCAGCAGCUCCAAGUGCAAGCAGCAACCACAGCCUCUUCCUCCAGCAGCAGUUCUCUCCCUUCUUCCUCUGCAAACAGCAGCAGUUCUCUUCCUCCUUCCUCUGCAAACAACAGCAGUUCUCUUCCUCCUUCCUCUGCAAACAGCAGCAGUUUCAGAGGAUCUUGGCCUCCAACAGCAGCCAACCCCCGCAGCAGUUCUCCAGCUCCCGGUCCCUGCAGACACACGCACACACACCAGCACAACAAGGAGCUGCCCUUCUCCACUACCCUUCUCCUCUUCUCCUCCCGCAGCACCACAGCCCGUUGGAGACCAAGCCGCUCCUCAGCUUCCUCCUCCUGCCGCGCAACACAGCAGCUCCACCUCUCCUUCUUCCUCUGCCGUGCAGCACAGCCUCCACCUCUCCUUCCUCUCCAACGAGCCGCACCUCCUGCGCAGCCACGCCACGCCUCCCAGAUCCGCCGCUGCCUCGCCGGACGCCGCCCAGAUCCAACGCCACCUCGCCGGACGUCGCCGUCGUCUUCUCAGGCCCCGCCGUCGCUGGCUCUGAUACCAUGUAGGAACGGGGGGAGAGAGGAGUACGGGAGGGAGAGAGGAGUACCUCCAGCACAAGUGUUUUGUGUGUGGCGGCUGUCUCAGGAACGGGAGAUGGCUAGGAGCCUCCUUUUAGGUUAGUCCCACUACAUGGGCCUGGGCCCUAAGAGAUAACUUGUAUGGGCUGGGCCAUACCGGUUCAACAUUUAUGUGCCUAACACACCAGCAAAUCAAAUGCAGCCUCCACUACAUGUCAAUAGUUCCAUGAAAAAAACAAAAAAAACUAAUACGAUAUUUAAUUGUAAGCAUACAACAAAUAGUACCACUCUAAAUCUGGUGUCGCCAUUCCUCAAAACAGAAAUUUUCAACCUUUCUUUUUUUUUAAAUUACAAUAAAGAGUAUCAAUGUUUAAGUUUCUAAGAAAAAAAGGAGAAGAAAAGUUUAGAACCAUGGGUUCAAUAUGAGAUUAGAACUACAGCCACCAUGCGAGUAGCCGAGGAUAGGGAAAUGUUGACAAUAUUAGAGCAUGUUUACGUCAGGAUAAAAUGUUGUCAAAAUUAUUCAUCUAGUUCAAUUAAGUUCUAUGAUGUAUAAAGUAUGUACUUGGCAAGAAAAAUACAAGGGGUUACCUGGAUAUAUGAUGCUGCAGUACACAUAUAUUUAUCUAACUAAAAUUAAGCCCACCACUUCCCGCUCUCAUAUUACUUCAGAAUCAUCAGUAUGAGAAAACAUUGAUACCCAUUACUUUAUACUGAUAAACUCCAUGCUCCGAGACAAGGUUGCACACGUCAUCGCCGACAAUUCCCUUCUCUUCUCGAAUCAACAUAUAACCAUGUUUUUAUCUUACAAGAGAAGGGAAUCCUCGCAAUCUGCUAGAUACAACAAGGUACUUUUGUAUGACGUGCCUGAGCCAUCAAUUUGCCGGUCCUUUUCUUCCUGAAACCAACAGAGACAACACCGACUGAUUUUCCAGCACGCAAUAGCUUCCCCUCAACUUCUAUUUCUUCCUGUAAAAAUAAAAGAAAUAGUUUACGGCAUGUCAAAUAACUAUUAAAAUAACAUAAGAGUGAAAAGACAAAGGUAUGUACAAAAUUAAUCAAGCCUUAUGAUGCUAUUCUAGCAAGAAACUGGCCAAAUCUGCCCUUUGGGGGGUAGGGGUGGGGGCAAAAAUUAUGAGAAAAGAUAACGCCCAUAUGUGUGGGUGUUUGCAAACCGUCCACACGCAUGAAUCUGCGUCUGUUUGUGCUUUGCAUUAAUCUUGGUAUUUUUUGAUAGUUUUUCUGUACCACGUAGGACUGAACUGGUGUGUCGGUAUUUAACCACUUCGCCCACACGGCCGUUUCUUUCUCAGCAGGAAUCUUUUUUGGUUUUCGGUUUAAAAAUGUUUUAUCAUGACAACUUCAGUGUAACAUCAUGACAACUGUUGAAGCACCCAUUUUUUUAAAUGUAACAUCAUGGCAACUGUUGUAACAUCAUGAAAUUUUUUUAAAUGUAGAAGAAAAAAUAGGUGAAACAUAUCAUGGCAACUUCAGUGUAAACACCAUGGCAUGGCAACUACAGUGUAACAUCAUGGCAACUGUUGUCCAAAAAAAUAAUUUAUCGAAAUAUAUUGAUAUGAGAUCUAGUUUCGAAGAUCUCGUCGCGAUGGAUUUAAUGAUAAAAACGGAUCUUCAAUCGGAUUUUUCAUUUACAAGAUAAAACAUUUUAAAAACUCAAAAUCCAAAAAGAUACCCACAUGCAUACAUGUGGUUUGGGCGUUAGCUAUUUUGCCCACACUCAGGCGUGUGAGCUAUUUCUCUUACACACCACACAAGAUGUAUGGGCAACACCCCUUAACACCCAGACGUGUGGGUGUUAUCAGGACCCAAAAUUAUAACCAAGCAACCUGAAAAGUACGUUUGGAUUUUUCAGAGCAAUAUUUGGACAACAUGACAAUAACUAUGAUCCUGAACUAAUUCUAGGAACCUCUUCAGAGCAAUAUCUGAACAAGAUGACAAUAAUUCAGAUCCUAAACUUAUUCUAGGAAACAUUUUGUACCCAGCUCCAGUCUGUAUUGAGCGAGUCAAAGGAAACAAAAAAUGAAUAACACCGUGUAAAUGCAGGCGCACUGAAUUCAACCAUCUUUUCUAAUUAGUACACACUUAUAUUCCUAUAAUAUUAAAAUGACUGGACGGUAAGAAGUGGUGGACCUUUUAUCUUGCCAAUUGAGAAAUAUUCAGUCGAGUAACAGACAAAAAAGAUCUCCACAUUUGAUCUGAACCAAUGAGAAAAGAGGGUCGUGUAUUUAACAUAGGUUCUGAAGUACGAGAAGAAUGCUCACCAAUUUGUUUCAGAUUCGAACUGAAUGCAUAAUAUCUUAGAUCGCGCAACCUAAGGUAAUGCAAAGAAAUAAAAUCAUACUAUUUAGGCAAUCCAAAUAGGCAUUGUAUGUACAGAAAAAUCAAAGGCGAAAUAGCAAAACAUCCAUGAAACUAAGCCAGUCACAUGAUGAUCAUAUUAAUGUCCACCUACAGCGGCCAAGUUUAGAAACCCCAAACGAGUGAGCAGAUGAAGCCAAGAAAAAGAAACACACUGAAGGGGAUCGGGAGACAGGGCCACCUACAUCGACCAAGUUUAGAAACCCCAAACAUGUGAGCAGAUCAAGCCAAGAAAAAAAAACACGAAAGGAGAUCGGGAGACACGACGGAGACCUUGAGGCGGGAAAGAGAGAUGGAGCGGGGUCGGGCUGCUUCUUCCCCUUACCUCUGCCCUCCCCCAUCUUCCCCACAAACCCCACAGCUGCUGCGUUGCUAGGCAUGGAGGGAGAGAGGAGCAGCAAAAGCAAGGACGCGGCGAGGAGGCAAAAACAGGCGGCGGAC